rnacentral:rRNA from 1 species
UACGGAGGGGGCUAGCGUUGUUCGGAAUUACUGGGUGUAAAGCGCGUGUAGGCGGGAGGCCAAGUCUGUGGUGAAAUCGCUCGGCUUAACUGGGCGGGGUCCAUGGAAACUGGUCACCUGGAGGUCGGUAGAGGCAAGUGGAAUUCCCGGUGUAGUGGUGAAAUGCGUAGAGAUCGGGAGGAACACCAGUGGCGAAGGCGGCUUGCUGGGCCGGAC